GAUGAAGAACGCAGCGAAAUGCGAUAAGUAAUGUGAAUUUCAGAAUUCAGUGAAUCAUCGAAUCUUUGAACGCACAUUGCGCCCGCCAGUAUUCUGGCGGGCAUGCCUGUUCGAGCGUCAUUUCAACCAUCAAGCCCCCGGCUUGUGUUGGGGACCUGCGGCUGCCGCAGGCCCUGAAAAGCAGUGGCGGGCUCGCUGUCACACCGAGCGUAGUAGCAUACAUCUCGCUCUGGGCGUGCUGCGGGUUCCGGCCGUUAAACCACCUUCAUAACCCAAGGUUGACCUCGGAUCAGGUAGGAAGACCCGCUGAACUUAAGCAUAUCAAUAAGCGGAGGA
rnacentral:misc_RNA from 1 species